rnacentral:rRNA from 1 species
AGCGAACGCUGGCGGCAGGCUUAACACAUGCAAGUCGAACGGGCGUAGCAAUACGUCAGUGGCAGACGGGUGAGUAACGCGUGGGAACGUACCUUUUGGUUCGGAACAACCCAGGGAAACUUGGGCUAAUACCGGAUAAGCCCUUACGGGGAAAGAUUUAUCGCCGAAAGAUCGGCCCGCGUCUGAUUAGCUAGUUGGUGUGGUAACGGCGCACCAAGGCGACGAUCAGUAGCUGGUCUGAGAGGAUGAUCAGCCACAUUGGGACUGAGACACGGCCCAAACUCCUACGGGAGGCAGCAGUGGGGAAUAUUGGACAAUGGGCGCAAGCCUGAUCCAGCCAUGCCGCGUGGAUGAUGAAGGCCCUAGGGUUGUAAAGUCC